UACGGAGGGGACUAGCGUUGUUCGGAAUACUGGCGUAAAGCGCACGUAGGCGGAUCGGAAAGUUGGGGGUGAAAUCCCGGGGCUACAACCCCGGGAACAUGCCUUCAAAAACUAAUCGGUCUGGAGUUCGAGAGAGGUGAGUGGAAUUCCGAGUGUAGAGGUGAAAUUCGUAGAUAUUCGGAGGAACACCAGUGGCGAAGGCGGCUCACUGGCUCGAUACUGACGCUGAGGUGCGAAAGCGUGGGGAGCAAACAGGAUU
rnacentral:rRNA from 1 species